ensembl:lncRNA
CAUUUUUACAGUGUGUGAAGCGUAUGGAAAGCGAUUUAUGAGACGAUUGCUUUUAGAAACCAAACAAACGAGCACGUUCUUUCUAAUAUAGCCUAAACAGCUGAUGGUCAAGGAAAUAUUUAGCGGUGUGUGAUUCAAUCGAUUGAAGCCUUUGACAGAUGAGAGACAUUAGGCUGUUUUAAUGAAGAUGCACAGCCUAUAACAAGCCUGCAGUAUCACCGACACGCGCAAGGUCAUCACUGACAUUUACAUCAAACGGUGUCGCGUCUUCCGUUCAGGUUAAACGUUUGUGAGACAGAGAAAGGCGCGGUUUAAAAACGACAAUUCACUUAAAUGUCGUGACUGGGUGAAGCAAACUGAAAUAGCGUGAACGCAAUAACGUUUUGCCGCUUAUAGAUCGAGUCUGCUGUGAAGGUUCACUGCCACUCUCGCGCGCCACUCACGACGUGACACAUUUGUAUUUUCUUCCUGGAUACUCCAAGAUGACGGAAUCGACAUCUGCAAGUUAUGCUGAUUUCGUGCAAAACUGCAUUUAUCGUAUAGCACCAUGGGCAGACAAUAAAAGGGAAUAGUUCCUGUUUGAUUUCAGUAGGCUGUAUUUUAUCACCCUAAACGGACUAUCCAUCUUUCAACAUGAUAGAUGAGCGAAUCAUUUGGAGGAACUUUUUCACGCCUACACCUGACGAUCUGCCUAGACUUUUGCGAAAUGGGUCAACCGAGGAACCGAUUUGGACCACCGCCGUGGCGCACAUAGGACGUCCAGACUCCAAACUGCCGAGUUUAUCCACAUAUCUUGGACUUUUUGUGUGUUUGCUGCUGUUUCUUUUGGCCCUAAUGAUUGUGAUGCUUUACCGGAUGAAACACACUAUCGCUCCAUUACCGUCAGACGUGGAGAGCGCGGGGCAAACAGAGAUGUUUCCUGAGGAUGCGAGCGAAGUAUCCAUCUAUUCGGCUGACUGAUCUCAUCCAACCUUCAUUUGUCACUAAUGUGUGGAAGGCCUGUAUUUUGUGUGUUUGACGAAAUAUUUGAUUGCAAAACAAAUGUAAAGCUACUGGAGAAUAUUAAUUUAUAUCAAAUGUAAUACUUUCAUUCUGUUCUGUUUGUCCAGUUCUGAGUGGAGUAUGUGAAUAUGAGUGUGUAUAUGGGUGAAUCUAAUGAAAAAAUCUGGCCCGUAUUUUACCCCAUAGGAAAGAAAGAAAAUAAAUUAUAUUUUGCAUGAACAAAAUUAAGCUGAUCAUACAUAUAUAUAUAUAUAUAUAUAUAUAUAUAUAUAUAUAUAUAUAUAUA